rnacentral:rRNA from 1 species
UACGUAGGCAGCAAGCGUUGUUCGGAAUUACUGGGCGUAAAGAGUGUGUAGGCGGUUUUCUAAGUUUGGUGUGAAAUCUCCCGGCUUAACUGGGAGGUGCGCCGAAAACUGGAAGGCUUGAGUGCCGGAGAGGAUAGCGGAAUUCCCGGUGUAGCGGUGAAAGUGACGUAGAUAUCGGGAGGAACACCUGUGGUGUAGACGGCUAUCUGGACGGCGACUGACGCUGAGACACGAAAGCGUGGGUAGCAAACAGG